UGGGAGCUCCUCUGACACCUGCACGAUAAAAGUAAGAAUUCAUGACAAAGUCAUACCCCUCCAAGCAUUUCCAUUUGCCAAAUGCGCCACAAAAACAAUGAUCCAAAAUAUAUCAGUCAAUAUGGUAAAAUUAUAAAAUAGAUGGUAGUCAGGAAAGCCAAUUUCCAUACAACACAAACAAGCUAACUAAAGAAUGUUGGACCAAAAAACAAGAAAUGUGAAAAUAUGAAUAUCACGUUGCCUUUCUUUUGAGAAGCAUUUCACUUGUACAGCAAUUAAAAAGAAUCAAACCAAAUUAGCAGAGCAAGAUUUCAUGGAACGGGGCCACAUAUAUGAAAUAACAAACGCAUAGUGUCUGGAAUGCUACUCUACAAAAUUGGCUAUAUCAAAUUGGGUGUUAGCCUAUCAUGAAGGAUAACAGGAGCCGGAAAAGAAAAAAGCAUUUCAUAAAUCACUAAGCCCUUUUUUCAGUGUCACUAAAGUCAACUAGAAAAUAGAAAGCCAUAUCACUUGAGGAAACCCCAUUGGUCUCCAAGAAGCAUAACAGCAACUGUAAGAGUU
rnacentral:lncRNA from 1 species